rnacentral:rRNA from 1 species
UACGUAGGGUGCAAGCGUUGUCCGGAAUUAUUGGGCGUAAAGAGCUCGUAGGCGGUCUGUCGCGUCUGCUGUGAAAACUCAGGGCUUAACCCUGAGCUUGCAGUGGGUACGGGCAGACUAGAGUGCGGUAGGGGAGACUGGAAUUCCUGGUGUAGCGGUGAAAUGCGCAGAUAUCAGGAAGAACACCCGUGGCGAAGGCGGCUCUCUGGGACGGUACUGACGCUGAGACGCGAAAGCCAGGGGAGCAAACGGG